rnacentral:lncRNA from 1 species
GGGGGAGCAGCUGCUGCUUGUAGACUGGCUGGACAUCAGUCCACAAGUGAGGUGGCCACUUUGGAUGAGGGAGAAGACCCAAGAAGAGAGCACUGUGGGCACACUGGCACUGCUACUGACUGCUUUCUACCCAUCCUGGGGACACACAGAACUUUCCAGGCCUGGCAGUCUGAAGACUAAACAUUCCCUGUAUCCAAACAGACCCAUGGGAAAGGACAUACUGAGCUAGAUAAA